CAGUAGCCGCGGGAAUACGAAGGAGGCUAGCGUUGCUCGGAAUUACUGGGCGUAAAGGGAGCGUAGGCGGACAUUUAAGUCAGGGGUGAAAUCCCAGAGCUCAACUCUGGAACUGCCUUUGAUACUGGGUGUCUUGAGUGUGAUAGAGGUAUGUGGAACUCCGAGUGUAGAGGUGAAAUUCGUAGAUAUUCGGAAGAACACCAGUGGCGAAGGCGACAUACUGGAUCAUUACUGACGCUGAGGCUCGAAAGCGUGGGGAGCAAACAGGAUUAGAUACCCCUGUAGUCCCUGUCUCUUAUAC
rnacentral:rRNA from 1 species